GAUGAACGCUGGCGGCGUGCUUAACACAUGCAAGUCGAACGGAAAGGCCCAAGCUUGCUUGGGUACUCGAGUGGCGAACGGGUGAGUAACACGUGGGUGAUCUGCCCUGCACUUCGGGAUAAGCCUGGGAAACUGGGUCUAAUACUGGAUAGGACCACUUCUUGGAUGUUGUGGUGGAAAGUUUUUUCGGUGUGGGAUGAGCUCGCGGCCUAUCAGCUUGUUGGUGGGGUAAUGGCCUUCCGAGGCGUCGACGGGUAGCCGGCCUGAGAGGGUGUACCGCCAUAUUGGGCCUGAGAUACGGCCCAGACGCCUGCGGGAGGCAGCAGUGGGGAAUAUUGCACGAUGAGCGCAAGCCUGAUGCAGCGAUGUCGCGUGGGGGAUGACGGCCUUCGGGUUGUAAACACUUUUCGCUAGGGACGAAGCGUUGUGUGACGGUACCUGGAGAAGUAGCACCGGCGAACUAGGUG
rnacentral:rRNA from 1 species